GCCCGCCUAGCUCAAUCGGAUAGAGCGUCAGACUUUUACGAAGGUCCGCCAGGCGGCGAUCUGAAGGCUGCGAGUUCGACCCUCGCGGUGGGCU